GCCACAGCGAAACGGCGCCCGGCUGAGGGGCGUCCCGCGCGGCUGAGGGCGCGAGCUGCCGCCUGAGGUACCGCCCGCCCCGCGGAGGGAACUCCCGGCUCGGACACCGCCCGGCUGAGAGCAGCAAAGCCGAACUGCAGACAAACUGAUGUGAGAUGAUAAAUCCUUCAUCCAAAACGAAGAAUCUGCCCAGUGACAAAUGGAGACAGAGAUUUUCACUCGGGCUGGCAGACCAAGAUGAUGAAGGUUUACCCUCACAGUUCUGAUGGUCUGCAGGAAGAACACCAUGCAUUUAAAGCUGGAGGCCGUGAAGCACCAGGCUGAGCACUGAGGGCCCUUUGCUGUGCAGAUGGGAGCUGGAGGCAAGUAAUUCUAAGAAGUGUGGUCAUUGUGUUUAACCAUUUCCCACGCAGAGGUACCUUCCAGAAAUGCUCAAGUGAAUUUUUCAGUUCACAUCGGUUUUGUUUUUGUUUUAAAUACUGAAACAGAUCAUAGCAUAACCUUUACCAGAACACAUGCAAAGCACAACUGCAGUCAGAAAAAUAAAUGGGAAAUGUUUAAUUAAGUCUUUGGCUCAGAUUGUAAGGGCAGAAGUCAGUCACUGUUAUGCUAUUGUAUCUCUUAACAUUCUUUUUUCAUAGGCUGGAUGUGGCACUGGGCAGCCUGGUCUGGUGGUUGGUGACCCUGCACGUAGCAGGAGGUUAAAACGAGAUGGUCAUUGUGGUCCUUUUCAACCCAGGCCAUUCUAUGAUUCUAUGAUCUUUUAUUUUCCUUGUUCUCUUACCUCCAAUUUUCUGGAAUGUACAUUUUAUUACAUGUCUCACAAGAAAACAAAGCUUAAAUUGGAGGAUGAUGCAUGUUCUGCUCACCCACAACAGUAUGGAAGCCUUUCUCACUGUGUGGCUUACUUUCCUGUCAAGUGAAAAUCGCUUUUCUGCCUCUGACCUUUCCAAAGUAUGUGGAGUUUUCUCUUCCCUUUUCCUAUAUCUCCAGAUGCCACACUUGCUGCUCUGGCCAAAACUUCUCUGUUCAGGCAGAAACUCUUGCUUACCAAGGCUGAAAUACUCUGCUCUUACCAUGCAAAGCCUCCGGGUAGAUAAUGCCCAACAUCUGGUCCUCCAAAGAAACUGCAGCAGAGAGAGGAAAAAAAUGCCUGUCACUUCAUUUAUAGAAAGUACAGUGGGUGAAGUAGAAGCUAUUGUUUAUUUUAUUCAUAUUAUUUAUAAAAAUGGCUUCCAGAAACAUCAUGACUCUCUGCAAGAACCACAGGCGUGCUUAGGCUGAGGAUUGGAGCUGAUAAGGACACAGCUAACAUUCUCAUCUGCAGUCACAUUGCAUAGAGCUGAUAGAGACAAUUCAGAAUACCCAGCACCAUGUCCUGAGCUCAUAGGCCACUUCAGUCCACCCAGUAAUUUCUACAAGAGUUACUGAUCUGUGAGUUUGGACUGAUUUGGAUGAAAAGGAGUGAAAACCAUUUGGAAUUCACAGUACUUUAAUGAACCAACAAGUGGGGGACAAUGUACUGAGCUUGUCUAGGCCUGGCAAAGCCAUGGAGGCAUGGAGGAGAAAUGCCCCAACCCAGUUCUGCUUUGCACCAGCUCCAUAAGGACCAGCAUAACCCCCCAGGGAAAGCCUUCGCUGCUUUGUAAGGCUAUCUGUGUGCAGUUCUUCAUUCUAAACUGCUCUGUCUACAUGGUACUGUACCAGAGAGGUAUGCAGCAAUGUCAGCCCCACUGUCAAACUAUAUUUCAUGUUACCAAGUUGGCACUGGGCUUUGACCUGAGCUGACCCGGCCAGUGCUGCAGCUGUUUCAGCAAAGCUGUAACACAAUUCACUAGCAAAAUCAGGGGCAAGAAAUGGAAAAGGUACAGUCUUUAAUGUUGUAGAUUUGAGACACAUUCUUUUCCUAGCAAGUACUUCAAUUCCCCUACACAGAGUGUGCUUAGAGGGUGAGCCCACUCAGCUCUGCAUUACAAAGCAGACCUUGAUUAUAUGGAAUUGUGGAAGGAAAGUGUCUUAGCCAAUAACUCAGCAGCACUGGAAUUAAGCACUUGUGGAGGGAUGGUGUCACACUGGCACAUUUAGCUGUGGAACAGCUCUGGGGGUGCUGGGAGGGGUCUUCUGCACUCAGCUUUUGGGCUGUGCAUGGCUUGUCCUGGCUUAGGAGAGGGCCAACAGGUUGCCCAGCUCCUGAGGACAGUCACAGCCUACUCACAUUGCUGGAGAUGAGAAAUAGACUGUCCUUACUGUCUCUUUUAAUUGGCCCAUGCCCUCUUUAAUAUUAAAUACUUUCCAGAACUGAAGCCUGCCUACAUCCAGCUCUCGGUGAGAUAGGACUGGCUGCAGCUCGGCCAGUUCUCUGUCAAAGUUGGGUUUGUUUUGUCUUGUCUUUAACAACUGCCAAGUAGGGAAAGCAGCAACCUCAUCUUUCCUAUCCCCAAAAGGGAGAAUAACUCCAUUGGUGUAUUUUGUAGAGUAAGAUGCAAUUCUCUGGUGCGCUGUUAGAGAUCUGUGCAUGACAGCAAAGAGUGUCAGCUAGAAAAGGCUUACAUGCAGGUGUGUUAAAGUCUCUGGUGUGUCCUGCAGCCAAAAUAUUUCCUUCUAGACCUUGCUCUUGUUUCUAAAACUACAAAACUGGCAGACUGUGAGAAUACCACAAAGCUGAACUCUGCAGCUCCACCACAGCAGGCAGCAACUUCUACACACUGAGCUUACCUUGGCCAGAGCUUGGUUUGCUCACUCCAUUUGGGUAGACUGCAUACACCGACACGUUGAUGUGGCUUCCUGCUGCUGCGUCCUCUGGAAAGAAGCAAUAGUUACCUUUAAGUUGUAUUUAUAAGCUGCUAUUAAAGCUGUGGAUUUGCUCAAGGGCUUCUGAUAGAGCAGUGAAAGGAGAGGAGGUGUGGGGUUUACAAGUGAAGGAGCAAAGGCUUGGUCAGGCAACUGACUAGGAGGUACUCUGAAGCCAACAAACACCAGAAUGAAGGUGGGAACCAGGAGACAGGUGGGACAGGUCUGAGAUCGCGCUGCUGCUGGACUCGCAGGUUGACUAUUGCAGGGUCCAUGAGCUCUGGCCAUUACAGGGAGAGGAGAUGAGCUGAAGUUACAGCCUCAUUACAUCAAGUGUUUUGCCUUCUCUCUCUGCUUGUACAAAUGCACAUCUGUAUUUCUGUGCUUGCACAAGCUCCAGGGAUUACCCUACUUUCACUCCCUGCCACCUCGCUCAUCUCUUCCUUCUCUUUCUCUGCCCCUUCUCUCCUCGUGGCCUUCACAUGUGUGACCAAAUGCCACUGGGUGCCCUCAGGUCUUCUAUCACUUCACUGUCGAAUCCUCCCAUGCUCCAAAAUCAAGUGGGCAGGGGCUCAAUUGCAAAUGAAAUGUCGAUUUUACAACAUCUUAACAAUCUACACCCAACGGCUAAAGGACUCCUGUGAUAUCUUACCU